UACGUAGGGGGCAAGCGUUGUCCGGAAUCAUUGGGCGUAAAGCGCGUGUAGGCGGUUCGAUAAGUCUGCUGUGAAAGUCCAGGGCUCAACCCUGGGAUGCCGGUGGAUACUGUCGGGCUAGAGUGCGGAAGAGGCGAGUGGAAUUCCUGGUGUAGCGGUGAAAUGCGCAGAUAUCUGGAGGAACACCGGUGGCGAAGGCGGCAUCCUGGACCAACACUGACGCUCAUGCACGAAAGCGUGGGGAGCAAACAGG
rnacentral:rRNA from 1 species